UACGGAGGGUGCAAGCGUUAAUCGGAAUUACUGGGCGUAAAGCGUGCGCAGGCGGUUUGUUAAGUCCGCUGUGAAAUCCCCGAGCUCAACUUGGGAAUUGCAGUGGAUACUGGCAGGCUGGAGUACGGUAGAGGAAGGUGGAAUUCCCGGUGUAGCAGUGAAAUGCGUAGAGAUCGGGAGGAACACCAGUGGCGAAGGCGGCCAUCUGGGACAACACUGACGCUGAAGCACGAAAGCGUGGGGAGCAAACAGG
rnacentral:rRNA from 1 species